rnacentral:tRNA from 1 species
GCGAUCGUGGUGUAAUGGUUAACACUGGAGCUUGUGGAGCUCUCGAUCAGGGUUCAAUUCCCUGCGAUCGCC